AAAUAAGUCAGCAUAGAAAUGCCACCACUACACAAGUUGAAUUUUGUACUUUGUUUUUGUUUUGGGGAUAUUUUAGCUUAACAUAUUGAUUGGAUCUCCUAUUAGAACUAUUCCCUGUAUGAUGUACUGUGUAACAUUGCAUGGAUCUAGAUCUUCUACAUGCAUGGAUCUUUGCAAUGUGAAUGGUACAUAUACAUACAUUUCAUAAACUGUGGAGAGUUAUGUUUUGCAUUGAAUGUACUUAGAAAACAUUAUAAUUUAGACUUCUAUUUAUUUAGUUAUUGCAAAAAUGAGACCCUCUCACUCUCUCUUCCUUAUCUGAACAUGUAAGAAUGUACCCUCUGAAAAUGAUGGAAUAUGGCCACUAUACUAGCG
rnacentral:misc_RNA from 1 species